CCCAAUACCAACAAGCCCCGACAGAAAAUUGUCUGGAUACUUAGUAUUUAGUUUUAUGCUUUCAUGGGAUGGUAAAAGAUUUGUUCAUCCAGUUUGCAGCGAUGGUUACGAGCUAAGGAAAAAGUUUUUGAUACACAUACUCAAGUA